UACAGAGGUGGCAAGCGUUGUUCGGAAUUACUGGGCGUAAAGGGCGCGUAGGCGGCCUUCUAAGUCAGACGUGAAAUCCCCCGGCUUAACCUGGGAACUGCGUCUGAUACUGGGAGGCUUGAGUAUGGGAGAGGGAUGUAGAAUUCCAGGUGUAGCGGUGAAAUGCGUAGAUAUCUGGAGGAACACCGGUGGCGAAGGCGGCAUCCUGGACCGACACUGACGCUGAGGAGCGAAAGCCAGGGGAGCAAACGGG
rnacentral:rRNA from 1 species